rnacentral:lncRNA from 1 species
GGGCAGUGGCUAUCUAAAGUUGGGAUUCCAUGGUGUAUCUGCUAAGAGCUUCCAGCAAAAUUGGUUAGGUUCUUCAUUUUUUGUGUUAGAUAUGAAUUAGGACUGCAACUAAUAAUUGUGUUUGAAUAUAUUAUUCGUAGAUAUCGAUGUUGGUCUUCCUUUCAAUUUGUUUACUGUUUUGGUAGUGAUUCUGAUGUUCCUUUGGCUUUCCCAUUCAUAUUUUUACGUUUACACAUUCAUGUCAUAUUGAUGUUGCUGAUUUUUCCUCUUGGUUAGAGAUAGAUCUCACUAAAGUUCUUGAUUGGCCCUUUUUUCAUUUUGAUUUGUUUCUACCUCCUCAUGGUCUGGUAACAAUUCUCUCCCUGGAUUUAUGUUUUACAGAUUAUUAGAUUGAGAUACUUAGACAUAAGGUCUACAGAGAGACUAUGAGGUUAAGGAAAAUAAUCUCAGUGGUCAAGGAAAACAAUCACAUUAUUUGGGUUCGCAUUAUCAAGAUGUGAUGUUAUGUUUUUUGAAAGUUUAGAGGAACCUCACAGAUCAGCAUUAGCAAGUUUUUUGUACUUGGUUGAUGCAACGUGUGAGAUCUUGCUUAUGCUUCUCUCCAGUUGAUGGUGUCUCAUAAAACGAAAGUUAAUGACAAGGUAAUUCUAUAAUCACUCCAAUAUUAAUAUGCUGAUCUAUGUGCGAAUUAUUUUUAGCUAUAAUGAUGUUUGAAGUUUUGUAUCAUUCCAUAAUUUAUUUAUUUUUU